CUAUGACGGACGUGCAGAAAUCAAAGUCAAUGACACAUGGGGAACUAUUUGUGACCUGAACUUCAACAUUUUAGCUGCAGAUUUGUUUUGUGAUUUGCUUGGACUCAGAGCUGCUCGAUUUUUUACGGGUGCUUUAUACGGAGAAGGCAGUGGGCCAGUCUUUAUUGACCAACUCUUCUGCGAAGACUAUGACCUAGAUUUAAGUAGAUGCAAAUAUCUUUUUCUAAACGAGUGUAGUCACGAAAGAGAUGUUUCAGUCGUUUGUAACGAAUGUGGCCAACCAGACAUUUACUAUUGGGAUGCAGGAUAUUUCACGUACAAUGGAUCUACAUUGUAUGCAGAUUGCUCUUUCUAUAAAACUUAUGUUGGAACGCUGAAACUUACUUGCGACAACGACACAAGGACUUGGGUCACGGAAGGAGAAUGCCAAGAAUAUAGUUACCCUUUAAAUGUCACUGAUGUAAGAGCGGUUGGUGGUCCAAGGUCUUCCGCUGGUAGAGUUGAAAUUAAGAGUUUGGAUACAUGGGGAACUGUUUGCAGCCAUUCUUUUGGUCAAAACGAAGCAAACG